rnacentral:lncRNA from 12 species
AUGGGGGAGGAAGAAGGGGGCCGGGACAGGCUCUUCAGCGAGUCCUCUGCUCAGUGGAGAAGCCCCAGAACACAGUGUCCUCUGCCUUCAAAGCUCACAGCUGGCUCAGGAAACAGCCCUCCCUCCCACUGUUGUGAUAAUCUGUCUACAGCGUUUGGUGUGUGUUUGUGGGGUGCACUGGGGUGGUUUCCCCACCCCCAUCCCACUGGGUGCUCCAGGUACCGGAGAUCACUAACAGCACAACUGUGGACCACCGUCUGGGGAGGCAGUGCCACCGGAUGGCAGACCGCUAACCGCGACCACGUGGCGUCCUCGUGGGUCGUCAGGUACGGUUGUCCAAGUUGAGAAGUGAACUAGAGGGAUCGCCGCUUACUGUGUGCCAGACCUCAUGUCUGUACGUGCUGGCCCUGCCCCUUCUCUUUUCUAAAUUACUUCUCACUCCCCUCUUCCACCUAGAAUUAUCUAUUUAGUUUGCCCUUAAUAAGCUCAUCUUCACACCAAACUUUCCCCCAUAAAGCAGAAGCUUCUUUCUUGACCAUCUGACUGCAUUCAUUCAUUCAUUCCACAGAAAUUGUUGAGUUUGUGCCAGGUACGGUUCUAUGCCUGGGGACAAGGUAGACCCUCCCUGAGCUCAUGAGCCCACAUUCUAAUUGGGGCAAGGGUGAGGGAACAAUAGAUAAAUAAUGUGAUGCAUAAAACUGCAAGUGACAGUAAGUGCCAUGAAGAAAAAUAAAGCCAGGCCAGGAGAUGGAGGAUGAUAGGAU